GACGAACGCUGGCGGCGUGCUUUACACAUGCAAGUCGAACGGUGAAGGUGGAGCUUGCUCCGCCGGAUCAGUGGCGAACGGGUGAGUAACACGUGGGCAACCUGCCCCUAACUUUGGGAUAACUACUCGAAAGAGUAGCUAAUACCGGAUAUGAAGUCUGUAGGCAUCUACGGAAUUGGAAAGUUCUUCGGUUAGGGAUGGGCCCGCGGCAUAUAAGCUUGUUGGGGAGGUAGUGGCUCACGAAGGCGACGACGGGUAGCCGGGCGGGGAGCGCGACCGGCCACACUGGGACUGAGACACAGCCCAGACUCCUACGGGAGGCAGCAGUGGGGAAUGUUGCGCAAUGGGCGAAAGCCUGACGCAGCAACGCCGCGUGCGGGAUGAAGGCCUUCGGGUUGUAAACCGCUUUCAGCAGGGAAGAAGCGAAAGUGACGGUACCUGCAGAAGAAGCACCGGCUAACUACGUGCCAGCCGCCGCAGUAA
rnacentral:rRNA from 1 species